rnacentral:snoRNA from 1 species
UUCCACAGUUACUGGUCUGGAAGUGCUCAGAACUGUAGCAGUUCCAGUAUUCCCUCUGUGGAAAAUAAACUGUUAUAUGGUGUGUUAAGUUCCUUCUCAGGUGCUCUGAAAAGGAAUUCCUAUGUAACAAACAAAG